UUCCUGGAGGACCAGUGGUUAGGCCUUGGUGCUCUCACCGCUGCGGCCUGGGUUCGAUCCCCGGCCAGGGAA
rnacentral:tRNA from 1 species